rnacentral:rRNA from 1 species
AUUGAACGCUGGCGGCAGGCUUAACACAUGCAAGUCGAGCGAGCGGCGGACGGGUGAGUAAUGUCUGGGGAACUGCCCGAUAGAGGGGGAUAACUACUGGAAACGGUAGCUAAUACCGCAUACUAUCGGAUGUACCCAUAUGGGAUUAGCUAGUAGGUGGGGUAAGGGCUCACCUAGGCGACGAUCCCUAGCUGGUCUGAGAGGAUGAUCAGCAACACUGGGACUGAGACACGGCCCAGAAUCCUACGGGAGGCAGCAGUGGGGAAUAUUGCACAAUGGGGGCAAGCCUGAUGCAGCCAUGCCGCGUGGAUGAAGAAGGCCUUAGGGUUGUAAAGUACUUUCAGCGGGGAGGCGUUACCCGCAGAAGAAGCACCGGCUAACUCCGUGCCAGCGGCCGCGGUAAUAC